CCCUUAGAUGUUCUGGGCCGCGCGCGCGCUACACUGAUGCAUUCAACGAGUCUAAAACCUGCUCUGAUAGGGGUGGGUAAUCUUUUGAAUGUGCAUCGUGAUUGGGAUAGAUGAUUGCAAUUUUUCAUCUUCAACGAGGAAUGCCUAGUAAACGCAAGUCAUCAGCUUGCAUUGAUUACGUCCCUGCCCUUUGUACACACCGCCCGUCGCUCCUACCGAUUGAAUGAUCCGAUGAAUAUCAUGGAUUGAGGAUGCAAGUAGGUUAGCCUAUCUUCAUCUUCGAGAAGUGAAGUAAAUCUUAUCAUUUUGAGGAAGGAGAAGUCGUAACA
rnacentral:rRNA from 1 species